rnacentral:rRNA from 1 species
UACGGGGGGGGCAAGCGUUGUUCGGAAUCACUGGGCGUAAAGGGCGUGUAGGCGGGCAGAUAAGUCGGGCGUGAAAUCCCCAGGCUCAACCUGGGAACUGCACUCGAAACUGUUUGUCUUGAGUAUCGGAGAGGAAAGCGGAAUACCUGGUGUAGAGGUGAAAUUCGUAGAUAUCAGGUGGAACACCAGUGGCGAAGGCGGCUUUCUGGACGAUAACUGACGCUGAGACGCGAAAGCGUGGGGAGCAAACAGG